GCCGAUUGCUGAGUCAUGGAAUACGUCGCUCCACGCAAGCCGCAAGAAGAAUAAGGACAGUUUACAAGUGGAUGCAACAAGAUGACCAUUGUUGUUAUUUUUGACUUGUAAAAUCUCUUUGCGUAAAACGAGUUAUUUGUUGGGAGCUUCAAUUCACUAAAUUGCUUUCCAGCACCAGCUUGUCUUGAGAAUCUUCCAGCCACCAUGGUAGCAGUGCAAAGCUACUGUGAAGCCAGCGCUUCCAUCUCUGAAGCCUGGCUGGAGGGCGGCAUCUCGCCCUGCUUCUACUUCACCUUGGUGCCCACCGUCCUGCUUACCCUCUCCUUCUUCUUCGGCACCUUCCACUGCGUCUGCUACCGCCGCUACGGCACCGAGAUGGAGCCCAAGUUCGUUCCGCGCUCGCGCCUCUAUGGCCUCCAACUGGCAGUCUCCCUGCUCCUCCUGCUGCAGUUCCUGGGGGGGCUGGUUUGGAGGGCGGCCGGAGGAGGGGAGCUCCCUGGCUACGUGGUGCUGUACGGCCUCCUGUCCAUGCUGGGCUGGGCCUGGGCCGUGGCCCUGUUAAGGCUGGAGAGGAGGAGGGUGCUGGUGAGGGACCGGACACGUGGCCACAGCACGGUGCUGCUGCUCUUCUGGGCUGUGGCAUUCUCAGCGGAGAACCUGGCCUUCGUCUCCUGGGCCAGUCCCUACUGGUGGUGGGGCCUGGAGAACACACAGCAGCAGGUGGAAUUUUCUCUGUGGUUGAUGCGCUACGUCGGCACGGGCACACUCUUCUUCCUGGGCCUGAAGGCCCCGGGAUUACCACGGAGACCGUACAUGCUCCUGAUCAACGAGGACGAACGCGACGUGGAGGGCGGCACUGGCCAGCUCCUGUUGGAUGGGGCAGAGGAAUCCCAGUCUACCUGGCAUGACUUUGGGCAGAAGGUGCGUCUGCUGGUGCCCUACAUGUGGCCCAGAGGCAGCAUGCUGUUACAGGGCCUGGUGCUCCUCUGCCUGUGCCUGCUGGGUCUGGAGAGGGUCAUCAAUGUCUUUGUGCCCAUCUACUACAAGAACAUUGUGAAUGAGCUGACUGAUGGAAGCAGCUGGAAGACCUUUGCCACCACUGUGUGUGUCUACGUCUUGCUCAAGUUCCUGCAAGGUGGAGGGGCAGGUGCGUCCGGCUUCGUCAGUAACCUGCGCUCCUUCCUGUGGAUCCGCGUGCAGCAGUACACCAACCGGGUGGUGCAGGUGCGUCUGUUCAGCCACUUACACUCACUGUCUCUGCGCUGGCACCUGGGGCGACGCACCGGGGACGUCCUGCGAAGCAUUGACCGUGGCACCUCCUCCAUCAACAGCCUGCUCAGCUACAUUGUAUUCAGCAUCUUCCCCACCAUCGCAGAUAUCGUCAUCUCCAUCAUCUACUUCAUCACCUACUUCAACGCCUGGUUCGGACUCAUUGUGUUCGUCUGUAUGUUCCUCUACCUCACUCUUACCAUCAUCAUCACGGAAUGGAGGACCAAGUACAGGCGAGACAUGAACACCCAGGACAACAACGCAAAGUCAAAGGCGGUGGACUCCCUGCUCAACUUUGAGACGGUGAAGUACUACAACGCAGAGAAUUACGAGGUGAACCGUUUUGAGGACGCUAUUCUGAAGUAUCAGAUCUCAGAAUGGAAGACACAAGCCUCUCUGGCCUUCCUGAACCAGACACAGAACUUGAUCAUCGGUUCAGGCCUAUUGGCCGGGUCACUGCUGUGUGCCUACUUUGUCCAGGAGGGCAAGUUUAAGGUUGGAGACUUUGUCCUCUUUGGCACCUACAUCAUCCAGCUCUACACCCCUCUCAACUGGUUUGGAACCUACUACAGAAUGAUCCAGAGCUCCUUUAUCGACAUGGAGAGCAUGUUUAAGCUCUUUACAGAGGAAGAGGAGGUGAAGGAUGCGGUGAACGCAGGGAACCUUCUCUAUAAACUGGGAAAAGUGGAGUUUGAGAAUGUAUACUUUAACUACACUGACGGGAAGGAGAUCCUUAAGGAUGUAUCAUUUACUGUGCAGCCAGGCCAGACUGUUGCAUUGGUUGGCCAGUCAGGGUGUGGUAAGAGCACCAUCCUUCGCUUGCUCUUCCGUUUCUACGACGUCCAGGGAGGAUGCAUCCGCAUCGAUGGCCAGGACAUCUCUAAGGUGAAACAGGUGUCUCUGCGUGCCCACAUUGGCGUGGUGCCCCAGGACACGGUCCUCUUCAACGACAACAUCCGCAACAACAUCCGCUACGGACGCAUCUUUGCCAGCGACCACGAAGUGGAGGAGGCGGCGAUCGCCGCGGACAUUCACGAGAAGAUCCAGACGUUCCCAGAAGGAUACGACACCCAGGUGGGCGAGAGGGGUCUGAAGCUGAGCGGGGGGGAGAAGCAGAGGGUGGCUAUCGCCCGCACCAUCCUCAAGGCCCCUCAGAUCAUCCUGCUGGAUGAGAUGAUUCUCAAGAUCUUGCACACUAAUGAGAUGCUAUUGAGUCCACACUACUACACUGUCUAAGCCAAGGACUACAUGCUUUCUGUCUUUACAGGAAAAUGCCAUGGGCACUAUCUGAUGUGUGGAGACAUUUCACUGCAGCUAAUGUAGAAGGAAAAGCUGUGUACAUUUGCAAAUACUGUGCCAAAUCAUAUGUGAAGAAUGCAACAAAGAUGCAGAAUCAUCUGGCCAAGUGCAUAAAGUUCCCUCAGCGCUCACAACAAGCAGCCUCUGACAAAAGUCCCUCUACUUCUAUUUGAUGUGAAAAUGAUGAAUCAGACACCUUAUCGAUAGCAACAGAUCAUGGUCCUCCUGGAAUCAGAGGUUACGUAGUCAGAGAAAUGCUGAUGAAUGUCUUGCUCGAGCUGUGUAUGCAACUGGUUCACCUCUGAUGGUUACAGGCAAUGUGUAUUGGAAGAGAUUUCUGAAUAUUCUUCGCCCAGCGUACACCCCUCCAACCAGACAUGCUUUAUCUACUCAUUUGCUGGAUGCAGAGUUCAAGUGAAGGUCAAGCAAAUCAUAGAGAAAGCAGACUGUAUUGUAAUCAUCUCUGAUGGGUGGUUGAAUGUUCAUGGGCAAGGAAUUAUUAACUACAUCAUCUUCACCCCUUAACCAGUAGUCUACAAGAGCACAGACACAAGGGACAACAGACACACCGGUCUCUACAUUGCAGAUGAGCUGAAGGCAGUCAUCAAUGACCUUGGACCACAGAAGGUAUUUGCACUGGUGACAGACAAUGCUGCGAACAUGAAGGCUGCUUGGUCUAAAGUGGAGGAGUCCUACUCUCACAUCACACCCAUUGGCUGUGCUACUCAUGCAUUGAAUCUGCUCCUCAAGGACACAAUGGCACUGAAAACAAUGGAUACACUCUACAAGAGAGCCAAGGAAAUGGUUAGGUAUGUAAAGGGUCAUCAAGUUAUAGCAGCAAACUACCUCACCAAGCAAAGUGAGAAGAAUAAGAGCACCACAUUGAAGCUGCCCAGCAACACCCAUUGGGGUGGUGUUGUCAUCAUGUUUGACAGUCUCCUGGAUAGGAAGGAGUCUCUCCAAGAAAUGGCCAUAUCACAGUCUGCCGAUAUGGACAGCCCCAUAGAGAGGAUCCUCCUGGAUUAUGUAUUUUGGGAGAGAGGGGUGAACAGCCUGAAAAUCCUGAAACCUAUAGCAGUAGCCAUUGCACAGAUUGAGGGAGAAAAUGCUAUCCUGUCUGAUGUUCAGACUCUGCUUGCAGAUGUAAGAGAAGAAAUACGGACUGCCCUGCCCACUACACUGUUGCCCAAGCAGAUGAAACUGCAGUUCUGAAAUACAUCAAAAACCAUGAAGACUUCUGCCUGAAGCCCAUACACGCCGCAGCGUACAUGUUGGACCCCAAGUAUGUUGGCAAGAGCAUCCUGUCUGGCGCAGAGAUCAACAAGGCUUAUGGUGUCAUCACUACCGUGUCUCGCUACCUUGGCCUGGAUGAGGGCAAGGAUCUUGGCAAUCUGGCGAGUACACUUCCAAGCAAGAGCUUUGGGGUGGAGAUGCCAACAUAUCGUGCCAACAUAUCUCAUCAGCCAUCUGGUGGAAGGGACAUUGUGGAUCUUGGGCUCUUUCCCCUGCCUCCAUCAUCCUCCAAAUCCCACCAUCAUCAGCCUCCUAAGAGCGCAACUGGUCCUUGUUUGGGAACACACACCAAAGCACGCAACAUGCAACGGUUAGGACAUCUACUUUGUGCAUGACACAAGUAAUUUUUCCAACAAUUGUUUAGACAGAUUAUUUCACUUAUAGUUUAUUGUGUCGCAAUUCCAGUGGGUCAGAAGUUUACAUACACUAAGUUGAUGGUGCCUUUAAACAGCUUGGAACAUUCCAGAAAAUGAUGUCAUGGCUUUAGAAGCUUCUGAUAGGCUAAUUGACAUCAUUUGAGUCAAUUGGAGGUGUACCUGUGGAUGUAUUUCAAGGCCUAUCUUCAAACUCAGUGCCGUUUUGCUUGACAUUAUGGGAAAAUCUAAAGAAAUGAGCCAAUACCUCAGGAAAAAAAUGUAGACCUCCAGAAGUCUGGUUCAUUCUUGGGAGAAAUUUCCUCACACCUGAAGGUACCACGUUCAUUUGUACAAACAAUAGUACACGCGUUUUGUCUCCUAGUGAUGAAUGUACUUUGGCGCGAAAAGUGCAAAUUAAUCCCAGAACAACAGCAAAUGACCUUGUGAAGAUGCAGGAGGAAACGGGUAUAAAAUUAUCUAUAUCCACAGUAAAACAAGUCCUAUAUCAACAUAACCUGAAAGGCCGCUCAGCAAGGAAGAACCACUGCUCCAAAACCCCCAUAAAAAAAGCCUGACUACGGUUUGCAACUUUACAUGGGGACAAAGAUUGUACUUUUUGGAGAGAUGUCCUCUGGUUUGAUGAAACAAAAAUAGAACUGUUUGGCCAUAAUGACCAUCGUUAUGUUUGGAGGGAAAAGGGGGAGGCUUGCAAGCCGAAGAACACCAUCCCAACCGUGAAGCACGGGGGUGGCAGCAUCAUGAUGUGGCAGUGCUUUGCUGCAGGAGGGACUGGUGCACUACUCAAAAUAGAUGGCAUCAUGAGGGAGGAAACGUAUGUGGAUAUAUUGAAGCAACAUCUCAAGACAUCAGUCAGGAAGUUAAAGCUUGGUCGCAAAUGGGUCUUCCAAAUGGACAGUGACCCCAAGCAUACUUCCAAAGUUGUGGCAAAGUGGCUUAUGGACAACAAUGUCAAGGUAUUGGAGUGGCCAUCACAAAGCCCUGACCUCAAUCGUAUGGAACAUUUGUGGGCAGAACUGAAAAAGCGUGUGCGAGCAAGAAGGCCUACAAACCGGACUCCGUUUCACCAGCUCUGUCAGGAGGAAUGGGCCAAAGUUCACCCAGCUUGUGGAAGGCUCCCUGAAACGUUUGACCCAAGCUAAACAAUUUAAAGGCAAUGCUACCAAAUACUAAUUGAGUGUAUGUAAACUUCUGACCCACUGGGAAUGUGAUGAAAGAAAUAAAAGCUGAAAAAAAAUAUUAUUCUGACAUUUCACAUUCUUAAAAUGAAGUGGUGAUCCUAACUGACAUAAGACUGAAUUUUUACUGGGAUUGAAUGUCAGGAAUUGUGAACAACCUAUUUUAAAUGUACUUGGCUAAGGUGUAUGUAAACCUCCGACUUCAACAAUAUGUUAAACGUUUUUGGGAGAUGCAAUGGAUAAUUGGGGAUCAUUCAGUAUUCCCUUUCUUUUAUUAUUCAUUGAAAUCAUCCCAUGUGAAGAGUAAACUCAUUUAAUUAAAGUUCAAUUCUUAACUAAAUUGUAUUUUUUUAUUUCUAUUGGAAGGAUUUAAUCAUUUUGCAAUUAUGUCUACUUAUGACAAGGUAAAAGGUUUAUGUUUCUGUCGCCAUAUGAUAUGGUAAAUAUAUCCAAUUCAAAAAACAUCUACAUUUAAAUAGUAUUAAUAUUACUUUGCAUAUAUUUGUGUUUAUUCCCAUAUUUUCCCACGGAAAGUUUCCACCUCUGAAUAUUCCCCAAAAUGUGCAACCCUAGGUGAACGAACACAUUGGCUCUAUCACUUAGCUUUCACCAGUCCAGCCAUGUCAGAUCAGAUAUUUCUUCAAGAACGAGAUGAAGCAAAGAUGCAUUCUUCACAUAUUUGAAGAGGGACAAUGUUUGCCCCCACACCACUGAUCCCCUUUCGUAUUGUGUUACAGUGGAUUAAUACGAGUUCACCGAACUCGAAUAUGUUACUUAUCUCGUAAAGUUUUCCCUCUGCACAGGCCACAUCUGCUCUCGACACACAGACGGAGCGCAACAUUCAGGCGUCGCUCACCAAAGUGUGCUCCAAUCGGACCACCAUCGUCGUGGCUCACAGGUUGUCGACCAUCAUCGGUGCCAACCAGAUUCUUGUACUAAGUGACGGUCAGAUA